UACUCUGGUUUCCUCUUUGGAUUGUAAAAAUCUUUCAUCUUUUACUAAAGAUUUCUGUGGAGAGGAACACUUGCAAUGCAACAUAACUUAAAUUCUUGUUUUUACCUUCUGUGUGGUGAU